AUUACUCAUUAGGGAAUUAGAAUUUAGAAAGUCAAUUAGGGUAAACGACGUCGGUGUCUCAGCGAUAGUUUCAGCUUCAGGCUUUCAAUUAGGGCGAUAGUUUCAGAAACGGGCAAACGAAGACCGACUACUGUGACUUCAAAGAGAUCGGUUGUUGUGACUUCAAAGAAUCAAAGGUUCAAGUGCAAUCAUGCCUCGUGCUCCUAAAGUACGCUCUCAUGUUUGGGAAUACUUUGAGGUGAAAGAAGAUAACGGAGAAGUUCGUAAAGUAGAGUGCAAGCAUUGUGGUCGAGUCUAUAAUGUUCAUCCAAAGAGGGAUGACACAUGUUGUUUAAGGAAGCAUAUUAGGCAUUGUCUUGAGCGUCUUCCUGAAAUACGUAUUUAAGAAUUAAGACUAAGUUGAUUCGAGACUAUUAGUGUGAACUUGAAUUGAGGGAUGCCCUCUCUAUUUUUGUUGUUUUUGAUGCACUGUGUGUGUUUAAUUCUGCUGCUUGUUAGAGUCUGCUGCUACUGUUAAUUAUGCUAUUGGCCUACUGCUACUGUUAAUUCUGCUACUGUUAGUGCUGCUAUUGUUAAGUGUUAAUUCUGCUACUUUUAUUC